GACGAACGCUGGCGGCGUGCUUAACACAUGCAAGUCGAACGAAGAGCGAUGGAAGCUUGCUUCUCUCAAUCUUAGUGGCGAACGGGUGAGUAACGCGUAAUCAACCUGCCCUUCAGAGGGGGACAACAGUUGGAAACGACUGCUAAUACCGCAUACGAUCUAACCUCGGCAUCGAGGAUAGAUGAAAGGUGGCCUCUACAUGUAAGCUAUCACUGAAGGAGGGGAUUGCGUCUGAUUAGCUAGUUGGAGGGGUAACGGCCCACCAAGGCGAUGAUCAGUAGCCGGUCUGAGAGGAUGAACGGCCACAUUGGGACUGAGACACGGCCCAGACGCCUACGGGAGGCAGCAGUGGGGAAUCUUCCGCAAGGGACGAAAGUCUGACGGAGCAACGCCGCGUGAGUGAUGACGGCCUUCGGGUUGUAAAGCUCUGUUAAUCGGGACGAAAGGCCUUCUUGCGAAUAGUGAGAAGGAUUGACGGUACCGGAAUAGAAAGCCACGGCUAACUACGUG
rnacentral:rRNA from 1 species